AAAAACCUUUUCUCGUACGAUCAUCGAAGUCAAGCAACGUCGAGCUUGGCCAGUACUUAGAUGGGUGACCGCACGGGAAUACAAGGUGCU